AGCGGCGGACGGGUUAGUAACGCGUGGGAACGUGCCCAGAUCUAAGGAAUAGCCACUGGAAACGGUGAGUAAUACCUUAUACGCCCUUCGGGGGAAAGAUUUAUCGGAUUUGGAUCGGCCCGCGUUAGAUUAGGUAGUUGGUGGGGUAAUGGCCUACCAAGCCUACGAUCUAUAGCUGGUUUUAGAGGAUGAUCAGCAACACUGGGACUGAGACACGGCCCAGACUCCUACGGGAGGCAGCAGUGGGGAAUCUUGGACAAUGGGGGCAACCCUGAUCCAGCCAUGCCGCGUGAGUGAUGAAGGCCUUAGGGUCGUAAAGCUCUUUCGCCUGUGAUGAUAAUGACAGUAGCAGGUAAAGAAACCCCGGCUAACUCCGUGCCAGCAGCCGCGGUAAUACGGAGGGGGUUAGCGUUGUUCGGAAUUACUGGGCGUAAAGCGCGCGUAGGCGGAUUAGUCAGUUAGAGGUGAGAUCCCAGGGCUCAACCCUGGAACUGCCUUUAAUACUGCUAGU
rnacentral:rRNA from 1 species